rnacentral:tRNA from 1 species
GGAGGGGUCGUGCUUAGCGGUUGAGCAUCCGUUUGGCAUGCAGAAUGUCACAGGUUCGAUCCCUGGCAUCUCCA